UACGGAGGGUGCAAGCGUUGCUCGGAAUUAUUGGGCGUAAAGGGCGCGUAGGCGAUCUGACAAGUCUGGUGUGAAAGCCCACAUGUUAACUGUGGAAGUGCAUUAGAAACUGUUGGAUUUGAGUUCAGGAGAGGAAGGCAGAAUUCCCGGUGUAGCGGUGAAAUGCGUAGAGAUCGGGAGGAAUACCAGUGGCGAAGGCGGCCUUCUGGACUGACACUGACGCUGAGGCGCGAAAGCCAGGGGAGCAAACGGGG
rnacentral:rRNA from 1 species